AUGAAUCAUCUUUUUUCUUAUUUUCCAAGGAUUAAAAACUGGGCUCUUGGGCAUAGGCCCCCGGCUGCAGCCCGAGUUGCCCGAGGUGUAAAUCGGGCUGUGAGCAGUAGCAUGGAGAACACGGCACAACGCUCAGGCAACGAGCCAAGUAAGCUACCGUACGAGUUCAUAAAACUGAUUACAAAGGAUUUCAGCGAGGAGCUUGGGCAUGGUACAUUCGGAAUAGUUUAUAAGGGCGUGUAUGAAGAUGGUGGAGAGAUUGCCGUGAAGGUAUUACGCAACAUUUCUGGAGGACUGGAUGAUGUGGAAUUUCAGAAAGAAUUUGACAAUCUUAGGGGGCUCAAGCAUCCAAAUAUUGUAGAGUUAGUGGCCUUCUGCAAUGAAAUAGUGGAAGAACCUGCAGAGUUUCAAGGACAACAAAUUACUGCCGGACGUGUGCGUACCGCACUCUGCUUCGAGUAUGUACACAAUGGUGGCCUAAACAAGUUUAUUAGUGACCAAUACACAGGACUUGGCUGGUCUGAGCGCUACAAAAUAAUCAGAGGUGUUUGUGAGGGUCUAGCAUAUCUUCGCUUGGAAAUAGAGAAUCCAAUAAUGCAUCUGGACUUGAAACCUGAGAAUAUAUUGCUAAAUAAGAAUAUGGUAGCGAAAAUCGCAGAUUUUGGAAUAUCAAAGCUCUUCGGUGAAGAGAACACAAAAAAGACAAUGAGUGUCAUAGGUACAAUGGGAUAUUGGCCACCAGAAUACAUAAAGCAUCAAAUAAUAUCAAAAGAGUUUGACAUAUUUAGUUUGGGUGUAAUCAUUGUAAAAAUAAUGGUCGGACAGGAGAACUACAAUUAUAUUGUCGAGACUCCAGCCCGGAAAUCUAUCAAGUUUGUACAUGAAAGUUGGAAAAAUAGGCUAAGUAAAACGAUAUCGGGUCACAAACUUGAAGCAUAUUGCAAUCAGGUGAAAAGAUGCAUUAAGAUAGCACUAGAUUGCUUGAAGUCAAACCGACAAGAAAGGCCUACUAUAAAACAUAUUGUUGCCUGUUUGAAAGAGAAGGACACAAUGUUCUAUGAAGAUGAUGGAGAUUCGUCCACUCUUCCUUCAGAUAUCAACGAUAUCACCAUUAACUCUACACCUUGUUCAGCUUUGGAGUUGGUGGAGCACAACACUCUCGCCAUCAUGGAUACCGUGCAUACUCUGAACGAAACAGAAACCAGUUUCUUCCCGCAAUCAGAAAAUGGGUCAGACUUGAAGCUCCUUGAUUCAGAAGAUACGGAGCUGCUUCACGUCCAACCCCGGGAGCUCUGCUUCCCAUUCAUGUCAUCGUUGGAAGUACUACCAAGAAAGAAGGCCAUGAUCUCCUGCUCGCUGCAACUAAACAACAAGGAAAACGACCGUGUCGCGUUCAUGCUUGUGGCUAAGACUCCCAAGAGAUACUUGACAAGGAAGCCGCUCUGCGGCAUUGUGCCUCCAAGGUGCGUCUACACUCUCAGUCUCACAAUGCCCAAGCAGCCACCGGUGACAUCAUCAUCAGACAGCGGCGGUGACUACUUUACACUGUACACCACCUUAAUGAGCCAAUACGACCUCCGUGAUCACGACAAAGAUUCCAUCUCCGUCAAGUACCACAAGCUCUUUGAGAAGGCCAAGCUGGCCGGCGAAGAGGUGCACGAGCUGAAGUUGAGGGCUAUUUGUGAUCAACCAGCUCAAGGGGCGUCGUCGUCUGAUCAGAUCAUAAUCGUGCCUGAUGCUCAGCAAGUUUCGUCCAUAGAUGUGCAUCCGACGGAGCCAUGGAUUUUGACGACAAAUCACGUAGGGAUCAUUCGUGUUUGGAACUACCACACAAUGGAAACGCUGGACUCCUUUAAAUUAGUGAUAUAUGAACCAGUUUGUGCGGCAAAAUUUAUAGCAAGGGAGAAAUGGAUCAUCACGGGUGAUGGCAAUGGGGUGAUCCAUGUGUACAGUUACGACCAAAACCAACAUGACAAGACCUUGGAUGCUCAAGAUAGUUGCAUCACAACUUUGGUUGUGCAUCCAACGCAACCUUUUGUGCUGUCAUUAUCUGAUGAUGAAGAUGACCCAUUGAUCAAGCUUUGGGACUGGGACAGGGGCUGGGCAUGUACUCGAGAAUUUCGGGGACACACUAACAAAGUGAUGCAAGUAACGUUUAACCCAGAGAACAAGGACUGUUUUGCUAGUGCUUCCUGUGAUGGCACGGUCAAGAUCUGGAGCAUCUGUUCCGAUAACAUCACCACACUGAAAUUGGGUGGUCAAAGCCUGCUCUGUGUUGAUUACUUUACACGCCGUAAUCAACAAUAUCUGAUCGUGGGCUGUCAAGACAAGACUGCACAGAUCUGGAAAUUGGAGAUGAAUGGAUGUUUUGAAAAGCUAGAAGGGCAUGCAGGCCAUAUCAGUGCCGUCAGUUUGCACCCGGAGCAUCGGUUGUUACUUACAGGUUCACUUGACGGUACCGUACGCGUAUGGAACUCCAUUACCUACAAGCUUGAGAACAUAAUUGGUUUCAACCUCGGUGCAGUUUAUGCUUUUGGAUGCAUAAAGGGCUCAAGGAUGGUGGUUGGGUGUCAUGAAGGAAUAGCAAUGGUGAAAAUUUCUUUGCCUUGA
rnacentral:rRNA from 1 species